rnacentral:rRNA from 1 species
GACGAACGCUGGCGGCGUGCUUAACACAUGCAAGUCGAACGGAAAGGCCCUGCUUUUGUGGGGUGCUCGAGUGGCGAACGGGUGAGUAACACGUGAGUAACCUGCCCUUGACUUUGGGAUAACUUCAGGAAACUGGGGCUAAUACCGGAUAGGAGCUCCUGCUGCUUGGUGGGGGUUGGAAAGUUUCGGCGGUUGGGGAUGGACUCGCGGCUUAUCAGCUUGUUGGUGGGGUAGUGGCUUACCAAGGCUUUGACGGGUAGCCGGCCUGAGAGGGUGACCGGCCACCUUGGGCCUAAGAUACGGCCCAGACUCCUACGGGAGGCAGCAGUGAGGAAUAUUGCACAAUGGGCGGAAGCCUGAUGCAGCAACGCCGCGUGCGGGAUGACGGCCUUCGGGUUGUAAACCGCUUUCGCCUGUGACGAAGCGUGAGUGACGGUAAUGGGUAAAGAAGCACCGGCUAACUACGUG